rnacentral:rRNA from 1 species
GACAGAGGGUGCAAACGUUGUUCGGGAUUACUGGGCGUAAAGCGCGUGUAGGCGGCUAUGUAAGUCGGGCGUGAAAUCCCACGGCUCAACCGUGGAAGUGCACCCGAAACUGCGUAGCUAGAGUCCUGGAGAGGAAGGUGGAAUGCUUGGUGUAGAGGUGAAAUUCGUAGAUAUCAAGCGGAACACCGGUGGCGAAGGCGGCCUUCUGGACAGUGACUGACGCUGAGACGCGAAAGCGUGGGGAGCAAACAGG